UACGUAGGGGGCAAGCGUUGUCCGGAAUCAUUGGGCGUAAAGAGCGUGUAGGCGGCCCGGUAAGUCCGCUGUGAAAGUCGGGGGCUCAACCCGUCGAAUGGCCGGUGGAUACUGUCGGGCUAGGAGUGCGGAAGGAGGCGGAGUGGGAAUUCCUGGUGAUAGCGGUGAAAUGCGCAGAUAUCAGGAGGAACACCGAGUUGCGAAGGCAGCUCCGCUGGGACGUUACUGACGACGUGGAGAACGCGAAAGCGUGGGGAGCAAACAG
rnacentral:rRNA from 1 species